rnacentral:rRNA from 1 species
AAAUUGAAGAGUUUGAUCAUGGCUCAGAUUGAACGCUGGCGGCAGGCCUAACACAUGCAAGUCGAACGGUAACAGGAAACAGCUUGCUGUUUCGCUGACGAGUGGCGGACGGGUGAGUAAUGUCUGGGAAACUGCCCGAUGGAGGGGGAUAACUACUGGAAACGGUAGCUAAUACCGCAUAACGUCGCAAGACCAAAGAGGGGGACCUUCGGGCCUCUUGCCAUCGGAUGUGCCCAGAUGGGAUUAGCUAGUAGGUGGGGUAACGGCUCACCUAGGCGACGAUCCCUAGCUGGUCUGAGAGGAUGACCAGCCACACUGGAACUGAGACACGGUCCAGACUCCUACGGGAGGCAGCAGUGGGGAAUAUUGCACAAUGGGCGCAAGCCUGAUG